UGACAGUCGGCUGAGACGGAGCUGCCAUCACAAUCCAGGUCUCCUCAUUCCUGGUUCCAUGCUCUUUCCAGUAUACAGAAAGAAAUUUUUUAUUUGUGUGUACAGUUGGGGGUGCGGGUGAAUAGGAAAUUUGCUCAAACAACUCAGACACUCCGGGUUCAUCUUCAGCAGAGUAAUCUCUAUCUGAAACAUGGAAGGGCCAACUGGGAUUUGCAAAGCAGCCAAGAGGAUCCCAAAUCAUAGAACAGAGGGCCUUGGCUAUUUCCAAAGCCAAUAGCCUCAGGAUCUGCUCCCACCAUUCCCUGGGACUGGCUCCCUCAAACUUCCCCAUUCAAAUGGCCUGAGAUUUGGUUUAUGACUCAUUCCCUGACUGCCCCUAGCUGCCCAAAGCCAUGCCAGGGCAGAGGUUCAAAGUCUUUUCCUCCCCCUUCCUUACUCUCUGGGCUGACCAAUAAGAAACAACCUUGGAAGCUGGGCUUUGGUUUGGGGUGCUGGGUAUGAGGGCAUUUGUUUUUCAUCUUGCUUUGCAAAGCAAACCUGCACCCCACACACACACCCUCAAGUUCCCUGGCAUUAGCAUGCGCCAUAAAUCUCCAGGAUGCUGCA